rnacentral:lncRNA from 1 species
UCUCAUCAGCCUUCUCUCUAGGGAUGCUAAAUACACCUCUGAGUCGUUCAGGGGUGCCCAGGGCUUUGGGUUCGGCUGGGAAGGGACCCCGUUGCCCUGGCUUCCUCCGUUGGUGUAGGAAUCCAGGAACGAGUCGGUGAAGGCCUCACUGACAUCAUCCUUCUGGUCCGGACGUGGCAGACACGAGCAGAUUUCAGCCCAGAGGUCCUCACUGGGCCUGGUAACCACAGAGUCAACGCUCUCAAUCAUUCUCAUCAUGAAGGCCCUCCACUCCUGUCACCACUGCUCUCCGGGAUGCGGUUGCUCGGGUCACAGCAGGACCACUCCAACUGUCACCCCGCGCCUCAGCACCGCCAACACGGGAAGCC